ensembl:snoRNA
AGCCUGUGAUGGUGUAAGAGUAGUGGGCAGAAGGGAUUUCUGAAAAAUUUUUAUUCUGAGGCU